UUCCUUGGCACAGUCUACAAAAGAGCUCACAGCUCAGCAGCAAUAAAGCUGGCUAGAAGAAGAAGAAGGGCAUUACGCUAUUAUAGUUGCACCAAUGGCAAACCGGCGGCCCACUUGAUUUUCGAAACCACAGGUAGCCAAUAAAGGUGUGCGCAAUAGAGUGGUAGCGAAAUCUCGACUUGACUUGAGUAUAGCUACCCUCGCAGCGCUGUUCUGAAUUGGCUGCAACUUAGCAAAUUUGUCAUCGGGUAUAUACGGCAUAGCUGCAGAUAGAGACCUUUGCUUAGCUGAUUUAUGUAUGAGGUGUUGGCUGUGGUUGUAUGUGGUAAUGAGGUGUUGGCUGUGCUUGUAUGUGGUAAUGAGGUGUUGGCUGUGGUUGUAUUUGGUAAUGAGGUGUUGGCUGUGGUUGUAUGUGGUAAUGAGGUGUUGGCUGUGGUUGUAUUUGGUAAUGAGGUGUUGGCUGUGGUUGUAUGUGGUAAUGAGGUGUUGGCUGUGGUUGUAUGUGGUAAUGAGGUGUUGGCUGUGGUUGCAUGUGGUAAUGAGGUGUUGGCUGUGGUUGUAUGAGGUAAUGAGGUGUUGGCUGUGGUUGUAUGUGGUAAUGAGGUGUUGGCUGUGGUUGUAUGUGGUAAUGAGGUGUUGGCUGUGGUUGUAUGUGGUAAUGAGGUGUUGGCUGUGGUUGUAUGUGGUAAUGAGGUGUUGGCUGUGGUUGUAUGUGGUAAUGAGGUGUUGGCUGUGGUUGUAUGUGGUAAUGAGGUGUUGGCUGUGGUUGCAUGUGGUAAUGAGGUGUUGGCUGUGGUUGUAUGCGGUAAAGAGGUGUUGUCUGUGGUUGCAUGUGGUAAUGAGGUGUUGGC